rnacentral:lncRNA from 1 species
CUCCCGGCGCUGGCGACGGUGACCGUGCCGCCGAGACUUGCGGUGAGGGUGCCCUCGUGGAUGGCCGUCUCCACGCCGUCGACGACGACGACGAACAGGUGGUGGGCAGUGACGGUGGAGGAGGCUUCACCGGCCUUGGGAUCGACGAGCGCCAUUGCCGUAAUGCCGUUUGCGUGGCGGGGGGCGCUAGCCUUGCUUUCGAUUCCUUUCCUCUGGGUAGUUUGGGUAGUUGUUAGGUAAGCGGUCGACGAAAAAAUGUCUUUGCUUUAAAAGCCAAAGGACAGAUGCAUUCUUUAGAAGAGAAUGGUGGGUGUUGGGUCGGUCAUAUGACUCAUAUUUCAUUUGUCUGCGAGAAGCAAAGGUUGUGUUUAGAUUAAGAAAAUUUUUGAAAGAACUGUUAUAUUAAAUAUUUAACCGGAUAUCGGAAGGGGUUUUCGGAUAUGAAUGAAAAAAAAAUGAAUUUCAC